UCUGAUGGUCUUUGAUCAUCCGAGUUGUAAUCUARAGAAGUGUCUUCCGCGCCGGACCAUGCAUAAGUCUCCUGGAACGGAGCGUCAUAGAGGGUGAGAAUCCCGUCUUUGGCAUGGAACCUCCCGGGGCUUCUGUGAUGCACUCUCGAAGAGUCGAGUUGUUUGGGAAUGCAGCUCAAAAUGGGUGGUGAACUCCAUCUAAAGCUAAACAUUGGCGAGAGACCGAUAGCGAACAAGUACCGUGAGGGAAAGAUGAAAAGCACUUUGGAAAGAGAGUGAAACAGUACGUGAAAUUGUUGAAAGGGAAACGCUUGGAGUCAGUCACGUCGACCGAGACUCAUCCAUUGCCCCUUUGGGCUUGGUGUACUUCUCGGCUGAUGGGCCAGCAUCAAUUUUGUCCCUCAGAUAAUGGCAGGGGAAAGGUGGCACCCUUAUGGGUGUGUUAUAGUCCCCUGUCGCAUGUGAGGGAUGGGAUUGAGGAACUCAGCACGCGCCUCUUGGUGUCCGGGGCUUUGGCCCACGCUUACGUGCUUAGGAUGCUGGCAUAAUGGCUCUAAACGACCCGUCUUGAAACACGGACCAAGGAGUCUAACAUGCCUGCAAGUGUUCGGGUGGAAAACCCGUGUGCGAAAUGAAAGUGAAAGUUGGGACCUCUGUCGUGGAGGGCACCGACGCCCGGACCAGACCUUCUGUGACGGAUCUGCGGUAGAGCAUGCAUG
rnacentral:rRNA from 1 species